UCUUUGUGCUCCUUUCCCCUGCUGCCCUUCCAGAUGCGCUCUUUCCAGAAAGGCAGCACACGCAUGUCUCUGCCGUGGCCCCAGAUCCUCCCCGCGCCGCCGUUUUGAGCGUUCACACUCAUUACCCAGGCACCGCCCGGACGGUGGCAUCCUUGAAAAGCAGGUCUUGGCCAUGAUAGUUGGAGGAGUCGAACAUUUUGAACCCGUUCUUAUUGUGGUCGUCUCCAAACAGGUCCUGGAAGCACCGCAGGCAGACGACCUGCUCCUCACUGGGCUCAGGCAGGGUCACCCGCCCAGUGCCGCUAGCUGCAAAUUGCUUUACAUACAGUGACCCAAAGAGCAAGUCAUUUCAGGGCCCCACCACUCUGAUUGGAAGUCAUAAGCUUGACAACUGAUUGGCCUCUGUCACCCAAGCGGGUGUGGGGACACUAGGCCCGCAGGUGCCACUGGAAGAGGCGUUCAGAAGCACUGCGGUGCUCCAGCUCCUGGAUGCAGGUCUGAGGCCUGAGAUGUCCAGGAAGAAAGACCCAGAAAUGAGGGAUGGUGUGGGUGGGAUUCCUGAGCGUUCUGCUAGGCCUGCUGAGCACUUCUUGGCCUUUUCCAUAAGGCUUUCUCACUCUGUCUUACAGAUAUCUCCCCACAAACCUAAACAAUUUCGAGAGGGACUUGUGUUCUGCAACCAGUCACAGAAUAUCAGGUGAGCUGGGCGUGUCUUCACUGACCCACCCGCCCAGGGAUGCUGCACUCCUCUCCACCCUGCUCAGAAUCACUAGAAUGACCGUUCUGUGGCUACAGCCCUAAAAGAGCUACUAAAAAGACCAGAAGUAGUAUGAGAACUUAUGAAUACGAAUAUAAAUAAAGGACAUCUGGA
rnacentral:lncRNA from 1 species